UCUACGUACAGCAUGUCCCCACUGGGAGGACGCACAACCUUCUUUAUCGACUCUUGUUUUCAUGCUUCACAAUUCCUACCAUGCACAUCAGUACUUCAUUAACCAGAAUCGAUUUUCCCGGCCGGGGCUGAACUGCAAUCUUUUUAAGGAUUUUGUAUGUUGCGGCGUAUUCCUCGCAUCGGGAAUUACGCUUGAAUUAACGGAGACGAUCUGCUGGAGCCUGGAUGCAUUGCACUGUCUACAUCAUUCAGUGGAAUGGGUACAAGGAUGCUAGUACUGUUUUUCUAUAUUAUGACGUCUGUUUUUUCUGGAAUAAGAUUUACAUCGGACACCUAGAUAAACAUAGGAAAUCGUACAGUAUAAUUAUCUAGAUACUGCAUCUAGCACCAAGGAUCAAGCUGCUACAAACCAUUGGACUUCAUCCCGAAUUAAUUGCAGGACUGUGAAAUCAAGUAUACGUAAUUAGACAAGGAGGGGCUAAGAAGUUGUGCAGUUGCUCAAGGAAGCAUCGUUCCCGAUGUGCGGUAGGCAAGCACUUUGGAAUCGAAUACGAUCAAACUGUCCGAUUGGAAUCUUCUCGGGUGCACGGCGGAACUGCACUGGCUAUCGCCGUAGACAGCCAUGCACCUUGUAGUGACACUGCAGUGUUCACUGGGAUUAUCAAGGUUCGGAUAAUUGCCUAAGAAGAUCAAAUUAGUCGAGAGACAGAUAAACAUGAAUGCUUUAAUUCGGAGAGACACAAGACAUCAAUGGGUGUUCUACACGUAAUCGUGGUCUUGUUGUCUUUCCUAUGUUGUAUACUUUCGUCCGGCGGCUUCCACAUUCCCGAACACCAGAGGCACUCCAGCGGAAGAUCAAGAGCAAGAGAAAGAGAAGCCGUACCACAGGGUUCAAGACGAAACGGCGAAAGCAGGGCGUUUGCAGUUUUUAGCUCGUUACGUGCGCGACAUUAUAGAGAACAUCGGGACGACGCCGUAUUCGCUGCUAGCCUCUUUGAACUGUUCGACAUUAAUAAUGAUGGCAUUAUAGAAUUAAACGAAUUUUUCACGACAUUACAAUUCUUAGGAAUGAUAGAUAUAGACUACAUGUCCUAGUAUUUGUUCAAAUUUAAUGAUAAUACUGUAAAUAAUAUGGUGCUCGCAGACAACACGGUGCAGUUCGGUGGACAGUGGAUUACAGGGCUUGUGGACACUUAGAUGUUGAACGAAGGCGACCAGAUCCAAGGGAAUCACUGGAACGUCGGAUUACAAUAGGGAAUUCUUAGAGAGCACAUCACACUUGUGACGAGACAACUGUUUCUAGCAGCUGUGGAUGUACACUUGACUUGAUGUAUACGGUGUGUAUGCAUUGUGUAGAUACACUGCAGUUUGAGGAAAGAGACAGCGUGGAAAUGCUGUGUUUCCUAGGUAUAUAUAGGCGUGUGUUGUGUGUGACAUUCACACGGACGCGGAGACUUCCCUGCCGGGUAGGUGCAUUGUUAUGUGACGUUCUUACGAACUUUGAGAAAUCUCUGGGGGGUGGGUGCGUUGUUGGGUGUAAUGUUCACCCGGACUAUGAUAAACCUCUGCCGGGUAGGCGAGGCUUGCUGUUCUACUUGCAUUUCAUUUUGGUUGAGAGGGGUAGCUACUACGGACACAUAUCACCUGCUUACAAUGCGUGAUGACCUCUCACCAAAAUCUCUGUGGUUAACUAAAGUUAAGUUAAAAAGUUCUGUACAUAAGUGGCCAGACUUGUUGCCAGUAGACUUGUUGGCUAGACUGCCAAAGAUGUACUGUUAGUGUUAUACGAAGCGCCCUAAUUAUCGCCCUCAAUAGGGGACAACUCUCAUACUCUCACACUUUGCUCGUGCAUUCAAGAUGGAGUCAUAUCUUUGGAGGGGUAUCUCGUGCGACAGACACGUCGUAAGGCGGUAAAGAGGCACGCGACGGGGGCGAGGCGUAUCUAAGUUAAUCUCUGUAUUGAUUAUUUUUGUAAAUGAUAUUUAUCCUUUAAAUAUAUGCAUUUAAUUACCAUAA